CUAAUCAUCAGCGCCGCCGACCACCUCUAUUUCCAUGCUGGCCAAAGCCCCCUCCACCACUUGGCGCAUCUCCACUGGCUAGCGCCACCGGAGCCACCGGCCUCCACCACUCCUACGCUGCCACAUCGCCCCUGCCUCCCUCCUCCUCCCGCAGGGCCCGCUGAAGCCCAUCUCAGGCCCGCCCCGGGUCGAUCUGGGCUCGAGGCUCCCGCGUCCUGCACUGCUGCGCGCCCGCUAGUCCGCUUGUAGCACCGCCCAGUUGACCGGCCUGAGCCACCGUCGCCCGCUACACCAGCUCCCCCACGCCUCCGCCCAACCUUGCCGCGGUCCCGCGCCGGCGAGCGCCAUCGGAGCACCACCGGAUCCGCCACCAGGGAGCCGAGCCAUCGUCGCUUGCCGCCGACCCCGGUGGCGCCGUCAUCCGGCCAGAUCCGGUGCCCAGGGGCCGGAUCUACCCAUUCCCGCCGUCAGCUGGUCCCACGCCCGCCACCUGCCGUCGUCUUCUCGCCGGAGUCCUCCGGUCGUCGUCGCAUUGGCCUUUCUCUGCUUCCCGCUCGCUCGUGCCCGUUGACCGUGCCAUGCCUCCUCUCGCCUGGACCGUGUCUCCCGAAGGCCCAAUCGGCCACCCAACGGCCUGCCUCCUCCUUCACCGUACCGGGCCGUGGCCCAUGUUUGUAGGUGCAGAUGAGUCCGUGCAGAUGACGCAACCAAGCUCAGGAGGAGAUCGAUG